AGGGAAAAUUCUUGGAAUUCUCAUUUAGCUUUUCCGCAUAAACGAUUGAUUUUGUCCACAAAUUUGUCCAUAUCUAUUAUUCCAUGGUUGAAAAGUCGGGAGAAAAGUUAUGUCUAGACCAAUGGUUUAAAAAACGGAUCAGUGACCCGGAUCGGGCUUCCAAAAAAUCGAUCCGGAUCGGUGAAUCGGCCAUCCGGUUCGGGAAUCGGGUG
rnacentral:lncRNA from 1 species